rnacentral:tRNA from 1 species
GCCUUCGUAGUGUAAUUGGAAGCAUACCCGACGCAUAUUCGAGAGGCCCAGGGUUCGAGUCCCUGCGAGGGCA